rnacentral:rRNA from 1 species
AUUGAACGCUGGCGGCAUGCCUUACACAUGCAAGUCGAACGGCAGCGGACCUUCGGGUGCCGGCGAGUGGCGAACGGGUGAGUAAAGUAUCGGAACGUACCCUAGAGUGGGGGAUAACUAUCCGAAAGGGUAGCUAAUACCGCAUAUUCUAUGCGUAGGAAAGCGGGGGAUCUUCGGACCUCGCGCUCCAGGAGCGGCCGAUAUCAGCUUAGCUAGUUGGUGGGGUAAAGGCCUACCAAGGCGACGAUCUGUAGCGGGUCUGAGAGGAUGAUCCGCCACACUGGGACUGAGACACGGCCCAGACUCCUACGGGAGGCAGCAGUGGGGAAUUUUGGACAAUGGGCGCAAGCCUGAUCCAGCCAUGCCGCGUGAGUGAAGAAGGCCUUCGGGUUGUAAAGCUCUUUCGGCCGGGAAGAAAUCGUGUGGGCUAAUAAUCUGCAUGGAUGACGGUACCGGAAUAAGAAGCACCGGCUAACUACGUGCCAGCAGCCGCGGUAACAC